rnacentral:rRNA from 1 species
GAGUUCAAACCGGUGUAAGCCAGGUCGGUUUCUAUCUUUAGUAAAUUAAAAUAUUUUAGUACGAAAGGACCAAUUAUUUAAUAUAUAUAUAUUAUUAAUUUUGAUUAUUAUU